rnacentral:snoRNA from 1 species
GAGCAGUGAUGAGUUUAAUUUGCCUGACUGCAAUAAAUGAAGGCUUCUACACUUGAACUGAGCUCA